UCAGUUAGUGGUUCUUGUCCCUUUCUCUCUUUAUCUUUCUCGACUCACCUAUGGAUGGUUUGUGGUAUAUGGAGCCUUAGGGAACCAGGCUGUUAUAUUUGUUGGACCCUACUUUGGCACAUGACCCAUAACAAGGACAGCAAUUAUGCAACAGCAUGGUAUCUUUUGCCCCCAGCAGAACUCAUCCAAUUCAAGGCCCCACUCCUUAUAAACAAAGACAGCAAAAUACAAGCUGGCAGAUGCACUUAUUGGAGUGGGCUCCUUGCAGGUUUCAAAGUGGCAGGAACUGCAGCCACACUUCAUGGCAAAGCAUUGGGCUUACAGGUGUAAGAGAAUGAUCAAAGAACUCUUCUCCAGCUGCCCAAAAUGACAAAUACAACUGAAGCAGCCACAGCUUUUAACCAAUUACAGUGCCAGACUUGCUAGCCCCACUUGGGCAUGCACAGAUAUGUGCCUUGAGGUUUUUCCAAGUUGAGGAACAGGUUGGGUAGCCUUGAAAGGCCCUCUGAAUCGGAGACAAAUUAUGGCAGUCUGAAUUAUGCCAAUUCUGAAAACAAAGAACCACACUUUUCAGCAUAUAGUAAUGGAGAAGCAUAAGAGGUAGUACUCCUGAACAUUCCAUUUUAAUGCAAGAAUACGUGUAGUUAUAAUCACAAAAUAUUUCCCUGGAGAAAUGAAGGAAUAGUAAGAUAUUUUAAUAUUACCAAUAUUUUAGAAAUGCAAUGCAUUCAGUGCCUAGGCAGCUACUCCAUCCUGGAGUGCCCAAAUAUCACCUUGUGUUACUUGUCUUUUGAUAUAUAUCAAAACGUUCAUGACUGAUUUUAACCGUGGUCUCCCAGGUCCUAAUCCACUCAAUAUCCACCUUAUUCCACACUCUGGGAAAAGAGAGAGAAAUCUUUUUAUAUAAAUCUUUUAUAUAUAAAUAGGGGAGAGAAGCAACUGUGACAGCAAAGACACUUUUCAGCUUUGUUAGGUGCUGACCAUUAGUGCAACUGUAGUGCUUAAAAAUAUUUGCAAGGAGGAGAAGAUGGGGAAGAAAACAGAACUUGGACAUGCUUCCAUUUCUACUUAUUGGCCAUGCCCCCAUGACCACUUAGCAGCUCCAUCAGCUCCAGUGGGACCAACCGCCACUACCCUCUACUAUUGGAAUUAUAACUAUCAAUUAAAUGUUCUGUUAGUGGUCUUACAGCAUGAUUUUAACAGUUAAAUUGGAACAGAAUCUGAUGUAAUACUGAUUGUGCAUACAUUCCUGAAGUUGUUCCGAUUUCUUCUUCCAAUCUUUGCUGUGCCCUUUCAUACAAAUCAAAGUAUAUCCCCUCAGUUUGUAAACUCUUUAUGUUUGUCAGAGUGAUAGAAUAAGGGAUUAAAUGAUAUAGGCAGUAAUGAUGAGACUGCAGACAUGCAUUGGUGUGCCCUUUUGUGCCAAAUUUGUCUAAUAGUGUAACAAAAGGGAUUGUUGAGCCCAGCCGAGUUUCCAUUUUUUUAAAAAAAGGAGCACCCAAAUCCCACCAAUGUCAGCUUCAUCAUCCAUUUCUAUUUUAAUCCAUUAUUUCAACUUAUCAUUUUUAAUUAUAGUAAUCAACUGUUUAACCUAAAAUGCCUCAUGAUUCAACAAACUGGGGUUACCCUCCAUGUUUACCUCGCAUAACAUUUUAUUAAUCCUUGAUGUCUUUCCAUUAUGAAUAAACAAAUGUUUGCCACAUGUCUAAUUUAGCAUUAGGGACACAAUUCAGAAGAACCAGCUUGUAUUACCCACCCAUUGCAGUGACAUCAGCUGUUUGACAGAUGGGUAUGGUGGCCAAAUUGGAUCCCCUGGCAGGCUAAGAUUGGCUCAGAGGUCAGAUGUUCCCCACCCUUGCCUUACACUGAGGAUUCAUUAACAAAAUCAGUAUUGCAGCAGUUGCAUUGAUUACUUCAGUGUGCACUAAGAUCAUUUUACUACAUUUUCACAAGGCUUUCAAAAACUACAUUUGAAGUGCAAUAGCAAAUAUGGGCUGUUUGA